AUUGAACGCUGGCGGCAGGCUUAACACAUGCACGUCGAGCGAGCGGCGGACGGGUGAGUAAUGUCUGGGCAACUGCCUGCUGGAUGGGGAUCACUACUGGAAACGGUAGCUAAUACCGCCUACCAUCAGCUGUGCCCAUAUGGGAUUAGCUCGUAGGUGGGGUAAUGGCUCACCUAGGCGACGAUCCCUAGCUGGUCUGAGAGGAUGACCAGCCACACUGGAACUGAGACACGGUACAGAAUCCUACGGGAGGCAGCAGUGGGGAAUAUUGCACAAUGGGCGCAAGCAUGAUGCAGCCAUGCCGCGUGUGUGAAGAAGGCCUUCGGGUUGUAAAGCACUUUCAGCGAGGAGGCGUUACUCGCAGAAGAAGCACCGGCUAACUCCGGGCGAGCAGCCGCGGUAAUAC
rnacentral:rRNA from 1 species